UGAAGGUUCGAGUCCUUUCCCGAGCAUUUAAAGCCGCUAGGAGCUCCUAGCGGCUUUUUUUAUUCUCUUC
rnacentral:sRNA from 1 species